rnacentral:rRNA from 1 species
UAGGGAAUCUUCGGCAAUGGACGAAAGUCUGACCGAGCAACGCCGCGUGAGUGAAGAAGGUUUCGGAUCGUAAAACUCUGUUGGUAGAGAAGAACGUUGGUGAGAGUGGAAAGCUCAUCAAGUGACGGUAACUACCCAGAAAGGGACGGCUAACUACGUGCAAG